AUGGCAGAAUGCUUCAAUAAGGUGCUCAAGGGUGUACGUGCAUUACCCGUGACGGCAAUAGUUCAAUACACAUUUGACAAGAUGAAUGGAUACUUUUUAAAGUACUCAAUGGAGACGGAUAAGCAGAUUGCUGGUGAGAACAAGGAUAAGCACAAGUACUAUUUCCCACCAAAGGUUGAAGAAUGGUUGGAGUUUCAAUCACGAAAGGCAGACUCCCAAGAAGUUGUACUAUAUGACGACAACGAGUGGAAGUAUGAGGUGAAAGAGCCUGGAGGAACCACAAACGAUGGCCACCAACACGGAGGCCGCGCUUUCAAGGUCUCCCUAACACGGUGUGAUUGCAGCUGCAUGAGGCUAUCGUUGCUUCAUCUCCCAUGCUCACACUUGUUAAACGCAUCCCGUGUUAGGAAUGUGGACGUCAAUCACCCUCUUACCAUGAGGGAGUCCGAGUUCUCAAUCAUGACGGUAAAGAAUACAUGGGCUCCCCGGUUUCAGCCAUACUUGGACCAAUCACAAUGACCGGAGUAUCAUGGAGUUCAACUAUGGCCGGACCCGGAAUUGAAGGUCGUUAGACGGGGAAGACGUAAGACAAAGCGUCUUAGAGGUGACAUGGACGGAUGGGGCCGUGGUGGCAGUGGAGAAUACGGCACCGGUCAAUUCCAAGAGCCCCGUGAGCAAUCCCGUUGUGGGGACUGCAGUCAUCGGGGACACAACAAAAGAACUUGUCCCAAACCAAGAAAAAGAUCAAAGAAAAAUGAUGCAAGCACAAGCCAAGCAAAUGAUAGCCAACCAAGGAGUAGCCAACCAAGUCAAACAAGCCAACGAGAAACUAGGCAACAAAGAGGGAGUCAACUAGGUCUUAGAAGAGGCCGUGGUGAUGGUCUUGGCCGUGGUGGUGGUAAAGGUCGUGCUGGUGGUAGAGGCCGUGGUGAUGGUCUUGGCCGUGGUGAUGGUGUUGGGGAACGUAGUAAUUUCAAAAAAAUUCCUACGCACAUGCAAGAUCAUGGUGAUGCAUAG
rnacentral:rRNA from 1 species